CGGAAAACUGGGGAUAAUACCGGAUAUGUGGAGUUGCCUGGAAUUGGUACUUCAUUGAAAUGCUCCGGCGCCUAAGGAUGGAUCUGCGGCAGAUUAGGUAGUUGGCGGGGUAAAUGCCCACCAAGCCAGUAAUCUGUACGGGUUGUGAGAGCAAGAGCCCGGAGAUGGAACCUGAGACAAGGUUUCAGGGCCUAACGGGGCCAGCCAGGCGCGAAACUCCCGAAAUGCGAGCAAUCGGGACGGGGGAAACCCAAGUGCCACUCUUAACGGGGUGGCUUUUCUGAAGUGUAAAAAGCUUCAGGAAUAAGAGCUGGGCAAGACCGGUGCCAGCCGCCGCGGUAACA
rnacentral:rRNA from 1 species